AGUGAGGUGCCUGAAUAAAGGGCUAUUUUGAUAGAAUAGAUCAUGUACUCAUUAUACUCUCACUA
rnacentral:tRNA from 1 species